AAACACGUAAGUAAAAUGUACCGCAACUCUUUAAGCAAUUGGUAUAUAAAACACUUUGAAGUGCAUAUACGACUUUCUUUGAUUGAACGACUAUCAAACCAAUAAGCUACAAAAACAAGAAUUCUACAACAUUACAAAUUUACACGAAGGAUAAACGGUAGGGACAAAUGAUUUGUUUAUUGGGGUUAGUUUUUCUUUCCUAAACAACGGUACCAGCAUUUGAAGCAAUACGAGGCCAGAGGUCAGCACAUUCUUUAGCAACGGGACCAGUGAUAGCAGAACCCUUCAUUUC